GAAUAUUCCUAUAUAAAAACAGGAGCUUUGGAUCAGUGGGUGAAGGGUACUAGCAGGUAAGUACACCCAUGUGUAACCUCAGGGCAGAAUUCUUCACACUGAGAAAACAAAAAACUUUCAAAGAUUCUAGCUGGAUGCCUCACUGGUUUCAUUUCAUCAUCCAAUUAACUGAUGUCAUUGUACCUGGACCUCUCCCCCUUAGCUGUCCCUGGUAUCUCUCCUAGGGCCCUUGAGGGACCCUACCAAUAAUUACUUAAAUAUGAACACACACACACACACACACACACGUUUUCUCUAGUUUCGUACUUUAGGGAUUGAACUGGAAUGUUCUGGAAUGGGAACACACCAAAUGGAGGGUAUAGGAAUUAACUACCCUGAUCAGGUGGAGAAUACAUGGUUCUACUCCACUCACUAUGUGGGGAACAUAGGGACCACCUCCCUCAUGGGGUGAAUGACACAGGGACCUACUUCCCUCAGUGGGGAGGGCAUGGAGAUCUACACCCCUAAUCUAGCAGAGAACACAGUGAUCCAUUUCCCAAACUGAGCCAAAGGCACAGGGAUAUCCAUAUAUAUUUUCAUAUAUGGGUUCAUAGAUUCAUAUGUAGUAUAUUCAUAUAUAUGUUCAUAUACACACACACAUGUUUUCUCUAGUUUCGUGCUUCAGGGAUUGAACUGGAAUGUUCUGGAAUGGGAAAACAUUAUAAGGAAUGUACAGGGAUUAACUCCCCUGAUAGGUGUAGGAUGCAUGGUUCUAUUUUACUAACCAGGUGAAAGACAUGAAGAUCCCUCCCUUCAUGGGGUGAAGGACACAGGAUCCUACACCCCCUAUGGGGACAAUUCCUAACACAAGGUAGAGGGCGUGGAGAUCAACUCCCUUCAUCUAGCGUAGGGCUAGAUAUAUAUACAUAUAUUCAUGUAUAUAUGUAUGAAUAUAUUAACAUAUCUAUACAUAUAGCUACACAUAUGACAUACUUAUGUCUUCUUCA
rnacentral:lncRNA from 1 species